AGUGAACGCUGGCGGUAGGCCUAACACAUGCAAGUCGAACGGCAGCACAGUAAGAGCUUGCUCUUACGGGUGGCGAGUGGCGGACGGGUGAGGAAUACAUCGGAAUCUACUUUUUCGUGGGGGAUAACGUAGGGAAACUUACGCUAAUACCGCAUACGACCUACGGGUGAAAGCAGGGGAUCUUCGGACCUUGCGCGAUUGAAUGAGCCGAUGUCGGAUUAGCUAGUUGGCGGGGUAAAGGCCCACCAAGGCGACGAUCCGUAGCUGGUCUGAGAGGAUGAUAAGCCACACUGGAACUGAGACACGGUCCAGACUCCUACGGGAGGCAGCAGUGGGGAAUAUUGGACAAUGGGCGCAAGCAUGAUCCAGCCAGACCGCGUGGGUGAAGAAGGCCUUCGGGUUGUAAAGCCCUUUUGUUGGGAAAGAAAAGCAGCAGGUUAAUACCCCGCUGUUCUGACGGUACCCAAAGAAUAAGCACCGGCUAACUUCGUG
rnacentral:rRNA from 1 species